rnacentral:rRNA from 1 species
UCUGGAAAGGCGCGCGAUACAGGGUGACAGCCCCGUACACAAAAAUGCACAUACUGUGAGCUCGAUGAGUAGGGCGGGACACGUGGUAUCCUGUCUGAAUAUGGGGGGACCAUCCUCCAAGGCUAAAUACUCCUGACUGACCGAUAGUGAACCAGUACCGUGAGGGAAAGGCGAAAAGAACCCCGGCGAGGGGAGUGAAAAAGAACCUGAAACCGUGUACGUACAAGCAGUGGGAGCACGCUUAGGCGUGUGACUGCGUACCUUUUGUAUAAUGGGUCAGCGACUUAUAUUCUGUAGCAAGGUUAACCGAAUAGGGGAGCCGAAGGGAAACCGAGUCUUAACUGGGCGUUAAGUUGCAGGGUAUAGACCCGAAACCCGGUGAUCUAGCCAUGGGCAGGUUGAAGGUUGGGUAACACUAACUGGAGGACCGAACCGACUAAUGUUGAAAAAUUAGCGGAUGACUUGUGGCUGGGGGUGAAAGGCCAAUCAAACCGGGAGAUAGCUGGUUCUCCCCGAAAGCUAUUUAGGUAGCGCCUCGUGAAUUCAUCUCCGGGGGUAGAGCACUGUUUCGGCAAGGGGGUCAUCCCGACUUACCAACCCGAUGCAAACUGCGAAUACCGGAGAAUGUUAUCACGGGAGACACACGGCGGGUGCUAACGUCCGUCGUGAAGAGGGAAACAACCCAGACCGCCAGCUAAGGUCCCAAAGUCAUGGUUAAGUGGGAAACGAUGUGGGAAGGCCCAGACAGCCAGGAUGUUGGCUUAGAAGCAGCCAUCAUUUAAAGAAAGCGUAAUAGCUCACUGGUCGAGUCGGCCUGCGCGGAAGAUGUAACGGGGCUAAACCAUG